UACGUAGGGGGCGAGCGUUGUCCGGAUUUAUUGGGCGUAAAGAGCGUGUAGGCGGCCAAGUAAGUCCGGUGUGAAAGUCACAGGCUCAACCUGUGAAUGCCGCUGGAAACUGUCUGGCUAGAGUCCGGAAGGGGCGAGUGGAAUUCCUGGUGUAGCGGUGAAAUGCGCAGAUAUCAGGAGAAACACCAAUAGCGAAGGCAGCUCGCUGGGACGGUACUGACGCUGAGGCGCGAAAGCGUGGGGAGCAAACAGG
rnacentral:rRNA from 1 species